CUUCUUCCUGGAUUCAGGCCCCACACCUGAGAGGGAGAGAGAGCAUGUGGCCAGCUUUUGUUUGGUGUUUGAUCAGAGAGAAAAACUGCCAUGAGCCACGGAGCCAAAUUAGGUUGGACCAAGAGGUCCGCUGCCGCUGGAGCCUGAUCCGCUGGGCACACAAGUGUGAAAUUGGCCAUUGGCUGGGUGCUGGGAAACAAUUGGAGAGCCCUGCUGGUGAGCUCCACUACGGCUGAAAUGAAAUGCAUCACGUUUA